UCGUCGGUCACCAACACAAAAGUAACGUGUGCCCAUUUUAUUCUGAUUACUGCUUUAGGAUUUUCUUGUAUUUGGCUCGGAUGCCGCUGAACUACUCGGGUGGGUCUUCGUCAUACCUUUUCGUCUAUGUAUUCGGAUGCUCACCGGAGUGCUUUUUUGUGUUAUCAGCCUAUUGUUCUAGAUAGCCUAACCACUGACUCGUUCAGCCCGAGCGCUACACUUCUCAUCUGGCCAUGUCCCCGUUCCUUCCCCCUUUAACCCACAAAAAUGGCUGUCAAUAGAAACAUGUGCUUUCCUUUAAUUAAACCUCCUUCUUCUGGAUUCUAAGUUUGCUAUGAUACCAGCGCGGCAGCGUGGGCGAUACCACCCUAUUGUCCCACUCCCGGCUCUCCCGGGCGUAGGGGCGUCCAGACAGGAGACGUCUCCCGGUGCGGGCGGGGCCGGCUAUUGAAAUAUGCGCGCGCCGAAGAUUAAUAGGACGUGUCCGCAUCGGGAAAAGCUCCGCUUCCCUGUGAAUUUGUCCUCUGACACCAGACGAAUGCUGUAGCUAAUGCUCAGUCAGGCCUAUCAGGAACUUCAGACGGCUCGCCAAACAAAACGUAAUUUUCGAACGAUAAAAAUGUACUUUUUUGCACAGAGGAAUAAAUGCUGAUUAUGGAAGAAGUGUAUCACUUUAUGACAUAAAUGACUGUGCUGCUGAUAUAUUUGAUUAAAAUGAUUUCUCUGAAGUGAUGAUUCGACCAGGUUUUUGCAGUGAAAGAAAACAUAUUUUCUAUGACUAUGAGGAUUUAUAAACAAUGUUUUUGUUUCUUUAAACAAAAUGAACAAUUUUUUUUAGCAUUUAAUAAACGCAGUUAUGCA